CAAGCCUAGUAGAAUUUGGGAGUUGCGCCCAAUCUCGUCUGAUAUUGGAAGCUAAGUAGUAUUGGGCCUGGUUAGUACUUGGAUGGGAGAAUUUGGGAGAUGGCUAUUCAGCAUGU
rnacentral:rRNA from 1 species